AUGCCGCAUAGACCUGGCAGACCCCAACGCAUAGUGAGGGUCUGCUGGGAACGCCUGGCAGAAGAACCUGUCAAGACGGUCUUCAACUCCCACCUCCGGCAGAGCUUUGACUGCGUCCCGAGAGCAGUGGGGGAAAUUGACUCCGAGUGGGCCUUGUUCCACUCUGCGAUUGUUGAGGCUGCUGUUGCUAGCUGUGGUCGCAAUGUGGCCGGUGCCAGUCGUGGUGGUAUCCCCCGUACCCGCUGGUGGACACCAGAGGUUCGGGGAGCCGUCAGGCUGAAGAAGGAGGCCUAUGGGGCAUGGCUAGUCUGUGGGUCUCUAGAGGCAGCAGACAGGUACCGGAUAGCCAAGCGGGGUGCAGCAGUGGCAGUUGCCGAGGCAAAAUCUCGGGCAUGGGAGGAGUUUGGUGAGGCCAUGGAGAAAGACUAUCGAUCAGCUCCAAAGAGCUUCUGGCAAACUGUCCGGUGCCUCAGGAGAGGGAGGCAGCAACUCGCUCACACUGUUUACAGUGGGAAUAGAGAGCUGCUGACGUCAACUGGGGCUAUAGUCGGAUGGUGGAAGGAAUACUUUGAGGAGCUCCUUGAUCCCACCUACGCGCAUUCUGAGGAGGAACCAGAGCCGGGAGACCUGGGGAUGGACUGUCCAAUCUCGGGGGCAGAAGUUGCUGAGGUAGUCAAACAACUACACAGAGGCGGAGCACCGGGGGCGGAUGAGAUUCGUCCUGGGUAUCUCAAGGCUAUGGAUGUUGUAGGGCUGUCGUGGUUAACAUGUCUCUUCAACAUUGCGUGGUCAUCGGGGGCAGUUCCUGUGGAGUGGCAGACCUGGGUGGUGGUCCCCAUCUUUAAGAAGGGUAACCUGAGGGUGUGUUCCAACUAUAGGGGAAUCACACUCCUCAGCCUCCCUGGAAAGGUCUACUCCAAGGUACUGGAGAGGAGGGUCCAAUCGAUAGUUGAAUCUCAGAUUGAGAAGGAGCAAUGUGGUUUUCGUCCUGGCCGUGGAACUGUAGACCAAUUCUAUGCCCUUGCAAGGGUGAUGGAGGGAGCAUGGGAGUUUGCCCAACCAAUUCACAUGUGUUUUGUGGAUAUGGAUAAGGCUUAA
rnacentral:lncRNA from 1 species